UCAUCUUCCCCCUAGAGCAGCGGUCUCCAACCUUUUGGACCUCACGGACCACCAGAGGUCUGCAGACCACCGGUUGGUGACUGCUGCUCCAAAGGUUUGCUUAACCCAGUGAUCGCCAACCUUUCGGAUUACCAGUGGUUCAUGGACCAC